UACGUAGGGUGCAAGCGUUAAUCGGAAUUACUGGGCGUAAAGCGUGCGCAGGCGGUUAUGCAAGACAGAUGUGAAAUCCCCGGGCUCAACCUGGGAAUGGCGAUGAAGACUGCAAGGCUAGAAUCUGGCAGAGGGGGGUAGAAUUCCACGUGUAGCAGUGAAAUGCGUAGAGAUGUGGAGGAACACCAAUAGCGAAGGCAGCUCGCUGGGACGUUACUGACACUGAGGCGCGAAAGCGUGGGGAGCGAACGGG
rnacentral:rRNA from 1 species